UGGGCCGGUAGUCUAGCUGGUUAGGAUACUGCCUCGACACGGCAGUGAUCGUGAGUUCGAAUCUCACUCGGCCCACUUU
rnacentral:tRNA from 1 species